rnacentral:rRNA from 1 species
UACCAGCACCCCGAGUGGUCGGGACGAUUAUUGGGCCUAAAGCAUCCGUAGCCGGUUCUGCAAGUCCCCCGGUUAAAUCCAGCUGCUCAACAGAUGGGCCGCGGAGGAUACUAUAAGACUAGGAGGCAGGAGAGGCAAGCGGUACUCAGUGGGUAGGGGUAAAAUCCGUUGAUCCAUUGAAGACCACCAGUGGCGAAGGCGGCUUGCCAGAAUGCGCUCGACGGUGAGGGAUGAAAGCUGGGGGAGCAAACCGGG